rnacentral:tRNA from 1 species
GAGGGUAUAGCUUAAGUGGCAGAGCACAUGCUUAGCAUACAUGAGGUCCUGGGUUCCAACCCAGCACUUCCU